UACGGAGGAUGCGAGCGUUAUCCGGAUUUAUUGGGUUUAAAGGGUGCGUAGGCGGUCUUUUAAGUCUGAUGUGAAAGCCUUCGGCUUAACCGGAGUAGUGCAUUGGAAACUGGGAGACUUGAGUGCAGAAGAGGAGAGAGGAACUCCAUGUGUAGCGGUGAAAUGCGUAGAUAUAUGGAAGAACACCAGUGGCGAAAGCGGCUCUCUGGUCUGUAACUGACGCUGAGGUUCGAAAGCGUGGGUAGCAAACAGG
rnacentral:rRNA from 1 species